rnacentral:rRNA from 1 species
GGAAGUAAAAGUCGUAACAAGGUUUCCGUAGGUGAACCUGCGGAAGGAUCAUUACCGAGUAUCUGUGUUUUACACGGACUCCCACCCUUGUGAUACCACCUGUUGCUUCGGUAGGACGUGUUGGAUUGACUGUCAAAAGUCACUUCGAUACGAUCUCUUGUGUCGACUUCGCAAGAAGGAGAUGUCUAAGAGAGUCUGCCUGCCGAGGGUCUAACUCUGAUACUUUUUGCAGUCUGAGAAAAAAACAAAUCAAUCAAAACUUUCAACAACGGAUCUCUUGGUUCUGGCAUCGAUGAAGAACGCAGCGAAAUGCGAUAAGUAAUGUGAAUUGCAGACUUCAGUGAAUCAUCGAAUCUUUGAACGCACAUUGCGCCCUCCGGUACUCCGGGGGGCAUACCUGUUCGAGCGCCGUUGUACUACUAAGGCAUUGCCUUGCGGUGGCUGCUUCCUUUGUGAAUUUUAUUUACGGAGGAACGGUCGAAACCUAUGGGCGCGUCCUCGAAGGUCGUCCAGCGUAGCAAGUCUCUCGCUGAACUUCUGAAAGGAGCGCCAGUCAACGAACGCUUGGCCUCGAAUCAGGUAGGGAUACCCGCUGAACUUAAGCAUAUCAAUAAGCGGAGGAAAAGAAACCAACAGGGAUUGCCUCAGUAACGGCGAGUGAAGCGGCAUCAGCUCAGAUUUGAAAUCUGGCCCUUUCAGGGUCCGAGUUGUAAUCUGCAGAGGAACGUUCGGUCUCGGCGCCGGUCCAAGUCUCUUGGAACGGAGCGUCGUGGAGGGUGAGAACCCCGUACCCGGCCGGUGGCCGUGACCGUGUGAACGUCCCUCGACGAGUCGAGUUGUUUGGGAAUGCAGCUCAAAGCGGGUGGUAAACUCCAUCUAAAGCUAAAUAUUGGCCAGAGACCGAUAGCGCACAAGUAGAGUGAUCGAAAGAUGAAAAGCACUUUGGAAAGAGAGUUAAACAGUACGUGAAAUUGUUGAAAGGGAAGCGCUUGCAACCAGACUUGGCCGCGGAGGCUCCCCCUGCCUUCUGGCAGGGUCACUCCGCCGCGGACAGGCCAGCAUCGGUUCGGGCGGCCGGAGAAAGGCUUGGGGAACGUGGCUGUCCUUCGGGGCAGCGUUACAGCCCCUCGCACAAUACGGCCAGCCGGGACCGAGGACCGCGCAUUCGCUAGGAUGCUGGCGUAAUGGUUGUCAGCGGCCCGUCUUGAAACACGGACC